GUUUUCAGAUUAAUAAUAAACAUAUGACAGUCUGUCUGGAGACAUUUAAUAUAGAUCUAGGAUUAAUUGUAUCAUGAAAAAGGAUGGUAACUAGUAUGCCUGGUAGAACCAGUAGAGUACAAUCUCUUAACAGACAUCAGAACGGUCAAGCUAGACAACAAACCGGUCGUCCUAGACAACAAACCGGUCAACACAGAUCCCCGUCCAGGCAUACUGGUAGAAGUUCACUAAAGAAAACUCCUGACAGAAGUUGAAACCCUAAAUCAGAAAUCUAAACACUAUAUCAAGAUGAGGAGUGAAAACGGACUCACUGUUUUACCAGAUAAAAGCUCCAUGUAGGUGUACACACUGUACAUAACAUAAAGUCUUUUGUACAUAGUUGUGCUUACACUCAAUAUACAUAGCUUUCUGUACAUAGUUUAAUAAAUCUUGUACAAUGUCCAUACCUGUACACUACAGUGUAAAGUUCAUAAAGCCUUAUGUACAUAAUUUGUUUAA